rnacentral:lncRNA from 1 species
CAAUCCAAGCUGUAUCAGUAACUUGACCGAAAAUAUUGAAUAGUAAUAUAUGUUCUGGGGAGAAAUUUUUAGGCUACAAGAGGACCACGUCAUAUCACGUGGUAAUAUGACGUGAUCCUACAUUCCAAUUAAAUAUUGACACGUGGAUUUAUUACAACUAAAAUAUAAAAUAAGAUUUUCUAUUUUUUUGUGAAAUGACCUUCAUGGGUCUUUGUUGAGUUUGGACUAGGGUUUAGGGAUUAGGGUUUAGGGUUUGGGGUUAGGGUUUAGGGUUUAAGGUUUAGGGGUUAGGGUUUAGGGUUUAGGGGUUAGGGUCUAGAGUGUAGGGUUUAGGGUCUAGGGUUUAGGGUUUAUAGUUUAGUGUUUAAAAAGCAACAACAAACCUAAAAUUGUCUUUGACAAAAUAGCUGAUGUGGGGAGAAAUUUUUAGAUGCUACAGGAGGACCACGUGGCAAUAUGACGUGGUCCUGCAUUUCAAUUAAAUAUUAACACGUGAAUUUAUUACAACUAAAAUAUAAAAUAAGAUUUUCUAUUUUUUGUGAAAUGACCUUCAUAGGUCUUUGUUGAGUUUGGACUGGGGUUUAGGGAUUAGGGUUUAGGGUUUAUGGGUUAGGGGUUAGGGUCUAGAGUGUAGGGUUUAGGGUCUAGAAUGUAGGGUUUAGGGUCUAGGGUUUAGAGUUUAUAGUUUAGGGUUUAAAAAGCAACAACAAACCCAAAAUUGUCAAAGUAGCUGAUGUAAUUUUUUCUUAAUAAAAUCCAUGUGUCAAUAUUUGAUUGGAAUGUAGGACCACGUCAUACUGCCACAUGAUCCUCCCGUAGCGCUGAAAAAUUUCUCCAAAAUGGGGGAGGGAUCGAUGGAUAUGGAUUUAAAGUUUUAAAUUGGUGCAAACGAAUCAUGACUCGUGCAAAUGGAGGCACCCCAAACAUGUAUUGAAUAGCACAAAGUGAAUGUGAUGAAGCACAUAGUGGUUAUUGGGAGUAGGCUUCAAGAAGUUUCAAAUCUUGAUAUGGGAUUGUAUAGGAGUGCAAAUGCGAUUGCAGAACAGAAGUGGUAAUCCUAGGCCUAUUCGGAGAGAUUGACCCUACGGAUGGAGCUGUCAAUAUCAGUUCCUAUCCUAUGGAUUUAUGGACCUCAGUUUGUUGUUAUGAAGAUGAUGAUACAACUGCUUAUGCUUCUAUUAAUGCCAG